UGUGUGUGUGUAAUAUGCUUGUAGAGAUGGGGGUUCUGGGACCAGUCUGAGAGCUGGAAGAGUUGAAGGUCUCCUUCCUGUGUGAGGCACAGUGAUAUCAAACCGGCCUCCAGCCGGAGGAGUCCAAGGGCACCAUAACAUCUACGACUGCAAUGCAUUAACGUAGCUUUAUGAAAUCACAGACCAGUUCUGCUUGCAGCAGUGAUGCCCACUCAUCCUAGCCCCGCCCAGAGGAUGGUGCUCUUAGAGGCUUCCCUGAUAGUUCCGACUCCACCAACAGGAUCCGCAGACCCAAGACUCUGACAGGUGCCCUGUGUGAGGAGCCGUGGCGACAGCAUUCUCUUUGAGAUUCCAUGGUGGUGGUUUAAGCAGUUUCAGACCACACGGAUUCCAGCGCCAGCUACCGCUGCGCACCCGUCCAGCCCACGCAGACCCCGCCCACAUUGGCUGCCCUCCCCUCCCACCGCGCAAGCUCUGCCUGCGCCUGCGCAGGCGCAACUCUUCCAGCCAAGCCGGACUGGGCGGACGAGCUGAGCAAAGGGAGGUUGGGGUAGUUGCUGCAUUAUUUGGUUUCCACCUUUAGAGAUGGCGCAGGAUCUUGCAUCGGUAUCCCGCCGUAGUCCUGCCCAAUAGAGGUGCAGAUUUAGUUCGCUGUUAAUGUAGCUUGCAGACUCUUGA